AUAGCACCACUAAUCAGCAGGUCUAGAAGGAGUCAUAGUACCACUAAUCAGGAGGUCUAGAAGGAGUCAUAGUACCACUAAUCGGGAGGUCUAGAAGGAGUCAUAGUAGCACUAAUCAGGAGGUCUAGAAGGAGUCAUAGUACCACUAAUCAGGAAGUCUAGAAGGAGUCAUAGUACCACUAAUCAGGAGGUCUAGAAGGAGUCAUAGUAGCACUAAUCAGGAGGUCUAGAAGGAGUCAUAGUACCACUAAUCAGGAAGUCUAGAAGGAGUCAUAGUACCACUAAUCAGCAAGUCUAGAAGGAGUCAUAGUACCACUAAUCAGGAGGUCUAGAAGGA
ensembl:lncRNA